rnacentral:lncRNA from 1 species
CCAAUGACCUUCUGGUUGAAAUCCAAAGCACUGAACAACUAGGCUAACAAGGAGCUAUGGGAAACAAUGAGUUUUUCUCUAGAUAAACUAUACCUUGUCACUAUCUGAACUAAACUGAAAACAGGAAACAGAGAUCGCAUCUUCUGUUCGAGUGGAUGGCGAUGCAUGUUGCAGUGCACGGCAGCUCGACUUGGAGAGGAGGUUCCGUGGCACGAGAAUGAUGAGGUUGCCGUGAACGGAAAGGGGACGGCGUGAGGAUCCGGAUCCAGCAAAGAACGACAUCGAGCGAGGGUCGGAGCUCCAGAUCCAAGGCGCGGGAGGUGGUCGGCCAUGGCAAGGCUCCUGCGGCUACGAGUUACAGAGAGAGAAUGAGAGAACUAGGGAGAGAGAAAAAGAGGAGGAAGAGGGAAGGAGAGGGGCGGCAAGGUCCUUGCUUGGCGGCGGUCACCGACAAGGUCGCGCUAGUGCGGAGUCAUGGGCGAGGGCACUUGCUUGCACGCGCGGCCAUGCACUCGAUGUCGAGCAGGGGAGCGCCUGGCUCGCGUGGAGGCUCGGCGACAUGAACUCCAUGAUGAAGACGGUGGUGGCUAGCGAGAAGACCAAGAACAGAGCAGAUCCAGCUCGGGGACGACGGGGAUGGCCGGAGCUGACAAGGGAGUCACAGGAGUCGGACGGUAAUUGAGGCUAGGUAGGUCUCAUCAAGCUUGGGUCGGAUCCUGCAGAGAGAAAAGGUGAGAGACGAGGGGAGAACUAGAGAGAGGGGAAUAGGGGAGGGGGAGGAAUGGAGAUGGUUGCAGACCUCCGGUCAGCUUCUCCCUCGAUAAGCCGACACGGCGUCGAGGACGAGCUCAGGCACGGAGGCGAGAAUGCUCGGUUCACGGGCCUGAUGGGCAGAGCUGCUACGGACGCGCGU